UUGUUUGGAGAGUUUGAUUCUGGCUCAGGACGAACGCUGGCGGCGUGCUUAACACAUGCAAGUCGAACGGAAAGGCCCUUCGGGGUACUCGAGUGGCGAACGGGUGAGUAACACGUGGGUGAUCUGCCCUGCACUUUGGGAUAAGCCUGGGAAACUGGGUCUAAUACCGAAUAUGACCACGCACUUCCUGGUGUGUGGUGGAAAGCUUUUGCGGUGUGGGAUGGGCCCGCGGCCUAUCAGCUUGUUGGUGGGGUAAUGGCCUACCAAGGCGACGACGGGUAGCCGGCCUGAGAGGGUGACCGGCCACACUGGGACUGAGAUACGGCCCAGACUCCUACGGGAGGCAGCAGUGGGGAAUAUUGCACAAUGGGCGCAAGCCUGAUGCAGCGACGCCGCGUGAGGGAUGACGGCCUUCGGGUUGUAAACCUCUUUCAAUAGGGACGAAGCGCAAGUGACGGUACCUAUAGAAGAAGGACCGGCCAACUACGUGCCAGCAGCCGCGGUAAUACGUAGGGUCCGAGCGUUGUCCGGAAUUACUGGGCGUAAAGAGCUCGUAGGUGGUUUGUCGCGUUGUUCGUGAAAACUCACAGCUUAACUGUGGGCGUGCGGGCGAUACGGGCAGACUAGAGUACUGCAGGGGAGACUGGAAUUCCUGGUGUAGCGGUGGAAUGCGCAGAUAUCAGGAGGAACACCGGUGGCGAAGGCGGGUCUCUGGGCAGUAACUGACGCUGAGGAGCGAAAGCGUGGGGAGCGAACAGGAUUAGAUACCCUGGUAGUCCACGCCGUAAACGGUGGGUACUAGGUGUGGGUUUCCUUCCUUGGGAUCCGUGCCGUAGCUAACGCAUUAAGUACCCCGCCUGGGGAGUACGGCCGCAAGGCUAAAACUCAAAGAAAUUGACGGGGGCCCGCACAAGCGGCGGAGCAUGUGGAUUAAUUCGAUGCAACGCGAAGAACCUUACCUGGGUUUGACAUGCACAGGACGCCAGUAGAGAUAUUGGUUCCCUUGUGGCCUGUGUGCAGGUGGUGCAUGGCUGUCGUCAGCUCGUGUCGUGAGAUGUUGGGUUAAGUCCCGCAACGAGCGCAACCCUUGUCUCAUGUUGCCAGCACGUAAUGGUGGGGACUCGUGAGAGACUGCCGGGGUCAACUCGGAGGAAGGUGGGGAUGACGUCAAGUCAUCAUGCCCCUUAUGUCCAGGGCUUCACACAUGCUACAAUGGCCGGUACAAAGGGCUGCGAUGCCGUGAGGUGGAGCGAAUCCUUUCAAAGCCGGUCUCAGUUCGGAUCGGGGUCUGCAACUCGACCCCGUGAAGUCGGAGUCGCUAGUAAUCGCAGAUCAGCAACGCUGCGGUGAAUACGUUCCCGGGCCUUGUACACACCGCCCGUCACGUCAUGAAAGUCGGUAACACCCGAAGCCGGUGGCCUAACCCCUUGUGGGAGGGAGCCGUCGAAGGUGGGAUCGGCGAUUGGGACGAAGUCGUAACAAGGUAGCCGUACCGGAAGGUGCGGCUGGAUCACCUCCUUUCUAA
rnacentral:rRNA from 6 species